UACGUAGGGGGCUAGCGUUGUCCGGAAUCAUUGGGCGUAAAGCGCGUGUAGGCGGCCCGGUAAGUCCGCUGUGAAAGUCGGGGGCUCAACCCUCGAAAGCCGGUGGAUACUGUCGGGCUAGAGUACGGAAGAGGCGAGUGGAAUUCCUGGUGUAGCGGUGAAAUGCGCAGAUAUCAGGAGGAACACCCAUUGCGAAGGCAGCUCGCUGGGACGUUACUGACGCUGAGGCACGAAAGCGUGGGGAUCAAACAGG
rnacentral:rRNA from 1 species